ACGAAAACGAAUGAACUAGUAUACAACAAGGAUAAAUGAUAUUUCCAAGCGUUAAGCACAAAAUGAAUAUUGGGAAAGGAAGUCGCUUCGGCGCAGCAUAGCUAAUCAUUCCCAUUAAUAUCUAGCUGUAUUUGUUCCAAACAGUAAGACAAGCAGACGAAAGGGCAUAAGUUGAUGUACAAUGCACCACUUCCGAAAGAGUAUUCAAAACCUCACUAACAUAAGAGUCUCCUUCACUUUCCGCAUACAUCUGUUUCACAGCGACUGAUGUAGAAGCAUAAAACUUUCCUACUUCAGUAGUUUGGUAGAUAGUAUCAAUUGGGAGACCGAAAACAACCUUUACCUUAGAUGAUACCGAACGCAGGUAUAGCUCAACAUUUAUGAUAAUAGACUUAUCAUCAUUUUCAACUGACAAAAAGGGCCAAUGGUACCAUAAUCGCUGGAAAUCUUGGACAAGAUAAACAAUUUGUUCCCAACAAAUUGAAACAUCGUUAAGAUACUUCUUCAGAAGACGUAAGUUCCUAGAAAAUACCUUGGAAUGCCAUUUAGAAAACGACGAUGCAACAUGCUCGAGCACAUUUGAGCUGCAAGCAUUACUUUCGUUAGGGAACUUACAGGCAAUAUCAACGUUAACUUGGAAAUUUUGCCUCAAAAUCUCAACCGUAACCUCGGCUGAAUAAGGAGAAAGAGCAGUGUUAUUUGUAGCUAAUUUAAUUCCGCCCGCGGUCAAAGAAACUAUGGUCCAGCCAAGUUCAUUUUUAAGAUUUAACAACUGCUCCUCGUAUCGCUUAAUUUCGUCAAAUUCAAAAUCUUGGUUUUUCGCAUAAAAAUCUUGUUCAGCGUUGGUACGUAAUUCCAAAUCAGAGCAAGAGUUUGUCACUUGUUCUAUCUUUAUUGCCAACUCCUUUCUUCUUUCUUCUUUUUCACUCAGAAGCCGACGUCUCCUCUCAACCUCAACCUUGAGUUUCUCUAACUUUUCUUGCGCCUGCGCUAGAAGAGUUGAGUCAUACUGAUUUGCAAAUUCCUUCUGCUUCUUUAAUGUCUGUACUGUAGUAAUACUACCAUUGUAUCUCUCUUGAAUUUCCUGCGCAUACGGAUGAAUAACAUUCGCGACAUCCAUUAAAUGGGUCAAGCUUCUUUGCAUCCCAGUUAAAUUUAAAUUUAAUUCAUGUUUGAUUCCUUGCAUCAAACCCUCACGCCAUU